GAUGAACGCUGGCGGCGUGCUUAACACAUGCAAGUCGAACGGAAAGGCCCAAGCUUGCUUGGGUACUCGAGUGGCGAACGGGUGAGUAACACGUGGGUGAUCUGCCCUGCACUUCGGGAUAAGCCUGGGAAACUGGGUCUAAUACCGGAUAGGACCACUUCUUGGAUGUUGUGGUGGAAAGUUUUUUCGGUGUGGGAUGAGCUCGCGGCCUAUCAGCUUGUUGGUGGGGUAAUGGCCUACCAAGGCGUCGACGGGUAGCCGGCCUGAGAGGGUGUACGGCCACAUUGGGACUGAGAUACGGCCCAGACUCCUACGGGAGGCAGCAGUGGGGAAUAUUGCACAAUGGGCGCAAGCCUGAUGCAGCGACGCCGCGUGGGGGAUGACGGCCUUCGGGUUGUAAACUCCUUUCGCUAGGGACGAAGCGUUUUGUGACAGUACCUGGAGAAGAAGCACCGGCUAACUACGUG
rnacentral:rRNA from 1 species